AUGGGAGAAAUCCUGAAGCAGCAACGCCGCGUGGAGGAUGAAGGGUCUAUGACUUGUAAACUCCUGUAAAGAAGGAAAAAAUUCCCAUUAGAUGGGAGAUGAUGGUACUUCUGGAGUAAGCCCCGGCUAACUACGUGCCAGCAGCCGCGGUAAUACGUAGGGGGCAAGCGUUGUCCGGAUUUACUGGGUGUAAAGGGUGCUCAGGCGGAUUUGUAAGUCAGAGGUGAAAUCUUACAGCUUAACUGUGAAACUGCCUUUGAUACUGCAAGCCUAGAGUAUGGAAGAGAGUGAUGGAAUAUCUGGUGGAGCAGUGAAAUGCGUAGAUAUCAGAUAGAACACCAAUGGCGAAGGCAGUCACUUGGUCCAUUACUGACGCUAAAGCACGAAAGCGUGGGUAGCAAACA
rnacentral:rRNA from 1 species